CACCGGCGCCACUAGUGGGGAUCAUAUUUAUUGGGUCUAAAGCAUCCGUAGCCAGCCUAGUAACUCUUUUGUGAAAUUGUUGUGCUUAACAUAACGACGUGCAAAGGAAACUACUAGGCUAGGGACCGGGAGGGGUUAGAGGUAUUCUAGGGGGAGCGGUAAAAUGUGAUAAUCCCUAGAGGACCACCAAUGGCGUAGGCAUCUAACUAGAACGGGUCCGACGGUGAGGGAUGAAGGCUAGGGGAGCGAUCCGG
rnacentral:rRNA from 1 species